rnacentral:rRNA from 1 species
CCUACGGGAGGCAGCAGUGAGGAAUAUUGGUCAAUGGACGAGAGUCUGAACCAGCCAAGUAGCGUGAAGGAUGACUGCCCUAUGGGUUGUAAACUUCUUUUAUAUGGGAAUAAAACGUUCCACGUGUGGGAUUUUGUAUGUACCAUAUGAAUAAGGAUCGGCUAACUCCGUGCCAGCAGCCGCGGUAAUACGGAGGAUCCGAGCGUUAUCCGGAUUUAUUGGGUUUAAAGGGAGCGUAGGUGGAUUGGUAAGUCAGUUGUGAAAGUUUGCGGCUCAACCGUAAAAUUGCAGUUGAAACUGGCAGUCUUGAGUACAGUAGAGGUGGGCGGAAUUCGUGGUGUAGCGGUGAAAUGCUUAGAUAUCACGAAGAACUCCGAUUGCGAAGGCAGUUCACUGGACUGCAACUGACACUGAGGCUCGAAAGUGUGGGUAUCAAACAGGAUUAGAUACCCUAGUAGUC